GAUGAACGCUAGCGGCAGGCUUAACACAUGCAAGUCGAGGGGCAGCGGGAUGUAGCAAUACAUUGCCGGCGACCGGCGCAAGGGUGCGUAACGCGUGAGCAACAUGCCCGUCACAGGAGGAUAAACCAUGGAAACGUGGCCUAAUACUCCAUAGUAUGUUUUGGAGGCAUCUCUGAGACAUUAAAGCUUCGGUGGUGACGGAUUGGCUCGCGUGACAUUAGCUAGAUGGAGAGGUAACGGCUCACCAUGGCGAUGAUGUCUAGGGGAACUGGAGAGGUUAAUCCCCCCGANACUGGUACUGAGACACGGACCAGACUCCUACGGGAGGCAGCAGUGAGGAAUAUUGGUCAAUGGACGCAAGUCUGAACCAGCCAUGCCGCGUGCAGGAAAGACGGCUCGUAUGAGUUG
rnacentral:rRNA from 1 species